rnacentral:rRNA from 1 species
GACGAACGCUGGCGGCGUGCUUAACACAUGCAAGUCGAACGGAAAGGCCCUGCUUUUGUGGGGUGCUCGAGUGGCGAACGGGUGAGUAACACGUGAGUAACCUGCCCUUGACUUUGGGAUAACUUCAGGAAACUGGGGCUAAUACCGGAUAGGAGCUCCUGCUGCAUGGUGGGGGUUGGAAAGUUUCGGCGGUUGGGGAUGGACUCGCGGCUUAUCAGCUUGUUGGUGGGGUAGUGGCUUACCAAGGCUUUGACGGGUAGCCGGCCUGAGAGGGUGACCGGCCACAUGGGGACUGAGAUACGGACCAGAAUCCUACGGGAGGCAGCAGUGGGGAAUAUUGCACAAUGGGCGGAAGCCUGAUGCAGCAACGCCGCGUGCGGGAUGACGGCCUUCGGGUUGUAAACCGCUUUCGCCUGUGACGAAGCGUGAGUGACGGUAAUGGGUAAAGAAGCACCGGCUAACUACGUG